UACGAAGGACCCGAGCGUUAUCCGGAUUUAUUGGGUUUAAAGGGUGCGUAGGCGGACUUACAAGUCAGUGGUGAAAUCUCCCCGCUCAACGGGGAAACUGCCAUUGAAACUAUUUGUCUUGAGUACAUUUGAGGCGGGCGGAAUGUGUCAUGUAGAGGUGAAAUUCUUAGAUAUGACACAGAACACCAAUUGCGAAGGCAGCUCGCUAAACUGUAACUGACGCUGAGGCACGAAAGUGUGGGUAGCAAACAGG
rnacentral:rRNA from 1 species